rnacentral:misc_RNA from 1 species
UCCGGUUUGUCACCGGCAGUCUCGCAUGAGUCCCCAACUAAAUGCUGGCAGCAUGCGACGGGGGUUGCGCUCGUUGCGGGACUUAACCCAACAUCUCACGACACGAGCUGAUGACAGCCAUGCACCACCUGUGAACCUGCUCCGAAGAGAAGACCUGUUUCCAGGCCGGUCAGGCACAUGUCAAGCCCAGGUAAGGUUCUUCGCGUUGCGUCGAAUUAAACCACAUGCUCCGCUGCUUGUGCGGGCCCCCGUCAAUUCCUUUGAGUUUUAAUCUUGCGACCGUACUCCCCAGGCGGCACGUUUAUCGCGUUAGCUUCGCCACGAAAGGGGUCGAUUCCUCUCGCAGCAAACGUGCACCGUUUACAGCCGGGACUAC